GAAGAAACGUUUUCUGCAUCCAGGAUUAGCCUAAAUCCUUUGGGAUAAGGUAUCAUGGAGGGUGAGAAUCCCGUUCAUGGUUAAUCUUAAGGACGCUCUACGAUACGUUCUCCAAGAGUCGAGUUGUUUGGGAUUGCAGCUCAAAAUGGGAGGUAAAUUUCUCCUAAGGCUAAAUAUUGGCGAGAGACCGAUAGCGAACAAGUACCGUGAGGGAAAGAUGA
rnacentral:rRNA from 1 species